UACGAAGGGGGCUAGCGUUGCUCGGAAUCACUGGGCGUAAAGGGCGCGUAGGCGGAUCUUUAAGUCAGGGGUGAAAGCCUGAGGCUCAACCUCAGAAUUGCCUUUGAUACUGAAGAUCUUGAGACCGGAAGAGGUAAGUGGAACUGCGAGUGUAGAGGUGAAAUUCGUAGAUAUUCGCAAGAACACCAGUGGCGAAGGCGGCAUCCUGGACCAACACUGACGCUGAUGAGCGAAAGCCAGGGGAGCAAACGGG
rnacentral:rRNA from 1 species